rnacentral:tRNA from 1 species
GUCGCUACUACAUCGAGUCCUUGGCUCGAGCGUCCCGAUCGGAUCGGGAAGGUCGGUAGUUCAACUCUACCCAGGCCCACCA